GUUGCUUCAAAAUGUUUCUCAGUCUCUUGAAUUUGUUUCAAGAAGUGCAUUUGCCGAUCACCAAGAUUCCUGACUUUCUCUCCUUCCGGGGCACACAGGUAAGGUGUACUUCCCAACCCCCUUUGCAUCAUCAAGGGUUCAUCUGACUAAGUUCUGGCCAAUGGAAUGUGACUGGAAGUGAUGUGAUAGACACCUCUUCCAGGCUCGGCCCAUGAAAAUCUCCCACUGUGGUUCUCCAUGCACCUUCUCUGUCUGCUGGACGAUAACACUCAGGCAACCUUGAAGGCUGCAAGCUGAAAACUGUGGGGACUCUGUCAGCCUAGAUGCUUGAGUAACUGUACAGGGCAGAGGCACCCCACCCCCAUCCUCUCCAUCCCAAUGCCAGUGGCCUUAGCUUGAGAGAGAAACAAACUUUCACUCUGCUAAGCCUCCAAAGUGUUGGAUUUGGUUUGUAACUGCAGUUAGCUUGCUUUAACCAAUACAGGAUGUAAGGAUAUAGGCAAGUCUGUACCAUGAGACUGUGCACUGGCCUACUAUUUCUGGAGCCAAAGUCCUGUAAUUCUCCUGCCAAGGCUGCCUUCAACACAAUCCGCCACUGAGAAAAUUCUCCAGAAAAGACUCCUCUGCUCCAGAGGUGCAGUACUUAGGCUGUCAGGAGUAUUCUAGUCUUGCAAGGGUAAUUCAAAAGCCCCCAUUCCUCUUAGCUUAUGGGACAUAGUCCUAGAAGCACACAGAAUAUAAAACACUCAGAAAUUCUAACCCCAAAAUUGAGAGAGAACAAAAUUAGAUACAAGGAAACCAGAAGCAUAGCCACAAUGGAGAGGACAUGCAGUGGAGACAGGAUCGGAACACAGUACCACCUCUAAGCCUUAAUUGUACAUGCUAUUAACUGGUGGGUGCUGUCAUUAAAUUUUCAAGAAAAUCCUCCUAAAAUAAAAAAAUAUUUUACUGUGUGGAAGUCAGAUAGCAGAUUUCACAGUGUCCAAAGUCAUAGUCCUUAUCACUUAUGAAGAGACAUGUUUGCCUUCCCUUUCAAGAUGACAACUGAGCCCCUCCAAAAUGUCUCCUCCCUCCCAUGGAAGUCAGCCUCUCACACGCCAGCGCCCUACCCUCUGAGCGAUCACUCUCAACUGGGGAGCUGUUUUGGUAUUGCCCACUCCAAAUGCAAUCUCCGUGGAUAUAGAAACCAUUUAAGAAUUUGCAAACUGACCUCAUUUUUAAUUUCAGUUUUUUAAAAUAUUCCUCUGUUAAGAAGAGGCAACAGGCCCAAAAUGGAGUCAUUUAUGCCAAGUCCCAUGUCACCAUACUGAGACUUAAAACCCAGCUUAAUUACAGUUCCAGUCUCUUCCAGGAAUGGAACCUUAAGCAGUCAGUCCCGGACUGCCUGGUCCUCACUAGUGAGGUGCUCCGCGUGGUGGAGACUUGCCCUCAGGGAAGGUGACCUUGCCGCAACCAGUUUGCUUUUUGCCAGUCUAACUUCCUUCUCCUUCUCCCUGCUGCCUGUCCUCUACUUUGUACAGCUCCUCAGAGCUCCUUUCUAUCCACUAGAUGGGAUGCUGCCUGACUCAUGAAUCACUGAAUAAGGCCAAUAAGAUCUUUAAAUAUACUCCAUUGAAUUUUGUUUUUUAACACCUUCAAGCAUUAAAAACCCUUCAGCCAUUAUAGAUGCCUCUGUCUGCUUCCUAGUCCAUUACAUAAAAUAGCUACCAUCCAAGCAGCAGUUAUUCUGUUCCAGGCAGGGUGCAUGGUCUUGGCAUACAUUAUCUUAUUUAAUCUUCAUGAGAUAGUUACUAUUGUCCCAUUGUGCAGAUGGAAAAACUGAGGCACCAAAGGUUAAGCAACUUGAACAAGUUCAUACAGCUAGUAAGGAGCAAAACCAGCAUUCAACUGAGCACUCUGAAUGCCCAAACCUCCACUCUUGACCACCGUACUAUACUGCCUCUACUUCCACUCGGCAAAUUUUUGUUCAUGGAAGACACCUCUUGGGAGAGUAGCUAGUGCUUCAGAAGGAUCAAUAAAUUCCUGUCGGUCAGAGCUUCAUAGCUUUACCUGUUUUCAUUCUGGCACUUUUGGAAUUUGGAAACCUCUCACCGUGGUCCUAGUGUCCAUCCACAGAGGUACCUCCCUUCUGUAAAUCUUGGCAGCUGUCUGGCAUGGUGAAAUCUCGGGGCUGUUGCCACAAUCUUCUAGAAAAUAGGAGCUUCUCAGCUCCAGAACAUUCUUAACGCUCGGGAGAAGAGCUGUGCUGCGGGCCAGUCUGUCGGAGUGUCUAUAUUUAGCACCAUCUGCCAGGAAUAUUCCAAACUGCCUAUUUCAGCACAUGCCAUUUUGUGCAAACGGGACUGCUCCACCACUAGCUCGUGGGAGACCAAGGGCACAAAGUGGAUUUUCCGGUUUUGAUGUCAUUAAAUGUUGCAAGUUGGCCCUUCGGCCAACCUGCAGAUGAGAUAUGGGAGAGGAUCGAGGCUGGCUUUUCCCAGGGCGUCUGUCCCUGAGUCCCACACUUCUAGUGGCUCAAUAGCAAUCCAGGGUGUUCUGGUGGAGAAAAGGGACAUCCCGAGCCUGCACUCCCACACAACAUUUCUGAGGCACUGGGGUGGCCCUGCCCGUUUCACGGCUCCCUUCUUCCACCCCACAAAUCCCUGUACAGACUCCUGCAGCCUUAACCACCCCCACCACACCCCAUAUAGCCUUGACCUGUCUCAGUGAAAGACCAGGGCCCCCAUGUACUGAGGGCUUUCCCUGUACCCAUUUUCAGUUCUGCCUUCUACAUGCACCAGUUCAUUGAAUCCUCCGAAGGAGGCACUAUUCUUAGUUCCACUUUACAACUAAGGAAACAUGCUUACAGAGGCCCAGGGACUUGCCGCGUCAAAAUUCAAGCCAAAUCUCAUGAUCUUACCCACUGACAGCAUACUGACCCAUUCUAUACACACCCAGCCAAUCUCCCUGUUUUCUUCCCCUCACUCCGGACUCUGUGUUUUUUGCAUGUUCAGGCACACCAGGAGAUGUUGCUGAUUUGGUUCCACACUACCACAGUAAAGCAAAUACUGCAAUAAAGUGAGUCAAAUGAAUUUUUUGGUUUCCCAGUGCAUAAAAAAAGGUAUACACUAUACUGUAGUUUAUUGAACGUACAAUAGCAUUAGCAUCUAUAAAAUAAUGUACGCACCUUAAUUGAAAAAUACUUUAUUGCUAAAAAAUGCUAACCCUGCUCUGUGCUUUCAGUGAGUCGUAAUCACUGGUCACAGAUCACCAUGACAAAUAUACUAAUAAUGAAAAGCUUGAAAUACUGUGAGAAUGACCAAAAUGUGACACAGAGACACAAAAUAAGCAGAUAGUGUUGGAAAAGUGGCACCAAUAGACUGGCUCGAUGCAGGGUUGCCACAGACUUUCAAUUUGUGAAAAAUGUAAUAUCUGCAAAGCACAAAAAAAACAAGGUGCACCUGUGUUUCCAUCUCCAGCUUAUUUUCCAGACUCAGUGCUUAACUGCAUCUGAGGGGUUCUUGACCAUGGGUUCAUCAUCCACCCCACUGGGACUAUGUUGACUCCCCUAAAUCCUCCUCCCAGACUGGGCCCAGCAACAGCCCAGAGAGGGAGUGGGGCCCCUGGGUUUUUCUCUGCCCGAGUAAGAACUGGUUGGUGGAAGCAAUUGAGCAGCCUCAUGAAAGUUUGCCCCAAAUACAGUGGUGAGUUUGACUAGGGCUGUACAGAAUAUGGCUUUAUAGGUGACAAGGGCUGCUGGGAAAGGAACUGCCACCAGGGACUGGCAUGGAUCUGGAGCUGAGAGACUGAGAAGCUGAGAAGGAGAAGUUGAUUAAUCCAGCUAUUCUGGGUGACACUAAUCUUUGGAGUGGCUGAAUCUAGGCAAAUUCUGAAUUGUGGUAACAGUAAAACCUCAACAUCUACAUGUACAAUUUCUAAGCACAAUUCCUGGGGAUGAUCAAUUUUCAUUAACUCACCUUAGGACGGUGGUUAAAAGAGAUGGCUACAUGCUUGCUGUGGUUUAGUAGAUUGGUAACUGGGUGCUUGGGGAGCAGAGGGACUGACAGAUGUGAGCGGCACAGAAUAAAGGUUAGAAAUCAGAUCUGUUACUAGAUAACUCCAUAACCCAUCUACUUCAAUGAUUUAUUCCUACACAACAAGCCAUCCUUAAACGUAGUGGCUUAAAACAAGAAUAAUCACUUUUUUACUCUCUCCCAUGGAUUUGGGAGGCUGACCAACCAGAUGGUUCAGACAAUAGUUGGGGCUGGAGUCGCCUCAAAGGCUUCCUUGCAUAUCCAGAAGUUGGUGCCGACUGUCAGCCGGGACCUUACUGUCUGCCAAGACAUCUACACGUGGACUUUCCAGGUGACUUGAGCUCCCCCACAGGAAGCUUGGACUCUUGGCUCUCCACUGCCAUGCCAGCCUGCUGGCACUCAAACCCCGACUGCCCUACCUUGCCCAAUUUCUUCCAAAUCCUAGCUCUUCCUCUAGUCCAGUAUAACUGGUAUGGGAGAUGGUACUUCAAAGAUGGUCACCACUAGACAUAUCUCAUCUCACAAGCCCCUCAUACUAACCACUCCUCCCUCUGAGGAGUGUGUCAAUGUUGUCUCCUCUUGAAUCUAGGCUGGUCUGUGAUACGGUGGGACUAUGCUGUGACACUCUGUGACCUCUAGGGCUAGGUCACAAAAGGUCAUACAGUGUUUCCCUCAUUUUCUUGGGUCAGAAAUAUAGUCUUCCUCUUUUUUAAAUGUAAAUGACCAUGUUUCCAUUUGGGACAGAACUGACUGAAUACAAAUCUCAGAAAAUGUUUCUUGACAUGAAUGUAGAAGCAUUUGGCCACCCUCAGGGUACCUUCCCACCGCUUAGCACAGCCAGUCUGGUCUUUGUCAGGACAUCUUUCUUUUCAGAGAGUAACUAUGACAACAGAGCAUGAAGCUAUGGGUCUGCAGCAGCCCUGUAUUUACAUACAACAUGUGAUGCUAUAAGAACACAGAAUUAUGAAUCAGGGUAGCAUUGGCCUCUCCUUUGGUAGUGAGCAAGUUAUCUGCUAUUUGAUUCAAUUGAUUUUAUUAAUUGGUUUUGGUUUUAUUAUGACUCUCUCUUAACAAGAUGAUUAAUGUUCUGUAAUCUAUAGCAUCAUUUUCCAAACUUACUUAAACAAAAUCCCUGUAUUAGUUUCCUAUUGCUGCUAUAACAAAUUACCCCCAAACUUAAGGGUUUGAACAGCCCAAAUAUAUUAUUUUACAGUCUUUAGAUGAGAAGUCUGGUGUAGGUCUCACCAGGCUAAAACUGAGCUGUCAGCAGGGCUGUGUUCCUUCCUUGAGUUUCAAGGGGAGGAGCCACUUCCUUGGUCAUUCUGGUUUUUGGCAGAAUCGAGUUCCUUGUGUUACAGGACUAAGGUCCCCACUGCAUGCCGGCUGAGAGACAUUCCCAGCUUCCAGAGGCUGCCCGCCUUCCUCGGCUCAGGGCCGCUUGCUCUAUCUGCAGAGCCAGUCUGGGUGGGUCAAAUCCCUUUCAUGCUCUGACUCUCUCCUUCUUCCUCUGUCUCAUCGCUCUCUAGCCACAACUUGGGCAGAUUUUCAACUAUUAAGGGCUCAUGUGAUUAUCCAAGAUAAUCUCUCAUCUCAAGGUCCAUGCGCUCAGUCAAAUGGGAAGAGUGCCCACUUAUUAUGUAAGACAACACAGUCCAGAGCUUAGGAUGCGGACAUCUUUGGGAGAGACAUUAUUCUGCCUCCCACAACCUUCAUCCCCAGCCCCCACUAAACUAGAGUUUAAUGGAAUGGAGUUUAGGCAGCACUGCUCUAACGGUAUCAAAAGGGCUGAAUUUUAAACAGGAAAGAAACUCACUCUUCAGGAGCAAUGACAACACCCAAAGCAAUGGGUGAGCACAAGACGAGGGACAGGUUGGACCCACCCCGUGGCUGGGGUGGGGGUGCAGAGGAAUAAGAGUUCAGUGAUGGACCAUCUUGUCUAGCCAGAGUAUGAAUCGGGUAGAUUUCCUAUUGGACUGGUUUGUCAAGAACUUGUAUUUUGAAUGCCUGAGGGAGAAGGGACAGUCAUCACACCAGGUGCUUUCCAUAAUCCAUAAUGGUGACCUGUGAAGGUGGACCCGGUAUUUGAACCUGUGUGAGGUGGAUUUAUUUGGGGUCCCCUCAUGUCCCCUUAAUUGGGCUGGUGUACCCGUGCCACAGAGGCAGAAAACCAGCAUCUCGAUUCCCUUUCUCUAGAAAUUACCUUUACAGAUAAUGUAAGCUCAGCUUCACAUUAUGCCCCUGGCCACUCUGUCCCCCAACACACACACACACACACACACACACACUCUCCCAUCCCACAGGCUUCAGAGGUCCUCUAUGGAUCCAAUCUGGACUUUUUCUAAGAUCACGUAUUUGCUCUACUCUUCCCUUCACUUUUCUGUUUCCCUUUCUCCUGUACAAGUUUUCCUGAUUAGUAAAUUAUGUGUAUCCAAAACCCUGCCUCAGGCUCUGCUUCCAAAGAACCCAACCUAAGACGUGAGAAAGUGAAUUCAUUGAUCAGGAUGUACAAAAUGGAGGCCUCCCCAGUGGUCUGGCCCAUGCCCCUAAUCUAAGCCUGCGUGAGCCUGCGCUAUGGAAGCACCUCACUGUCAAGGACACCUGACACCAACUUUCCCCAACUUUCUCUAAUUCAGCAUUCAGCUUGCCUUACCCUAGAAAACAGGACCUGCCUGCCUUACCAGAAAUCCCCUGCUGUCUGGGCAAUCAUGACCUGCUUCCAGACUGUCUCUUCUAUCACUCUAUAAAACUCCCUCUUGCCCAAAUCCCUUGGACAGAGAGCUCCACCGCUUCUGACACACUGUCACAAGCCUGUAACCCCCAACUGCAGCUCCCUAUUUCCAAAGUCCUUGCUUUUUGCAGAUUCCUGGCCUAGAGUCACACAGUACCAAGAAAAUACCUGGAGGAAAUGUCCCUGAGGCACACGGUACCUGCCUCCUUCUAGUGUCAGCUCCUUGGGGACAGGGACGGUGUCCAUCGUGAUCACACACAGUGGCUGACCCACAACGGAUCUGCAACUUGGUGAGAAGGUGAAUGAAACAGAGAAGCAACAGGAGGUGAGAGCUCUGUGGGUAAGUGGAAGAAAGUUGGGGAAAGAUGGUCUGUGCCAGGUAAGACAUGUUCCUUUGCAAGCUGCUUUGUUGCUCUUCAAGCUCAUCUAUGAUGACCGUACUUUUCCUGGAACCUACUCACAGUGCCCAGGGAUCUGUGGACUCAGGCUCUCAUUUGGAAAAGUGACAUUCCAGAGUACCCUUCCUCCUACAUGCAGGAUGGAGAUCCAGCAGCCCGCGCCUAAACCUGGAACGUGCUCUGCUUCGAAAAGACCUACUGGACCUCAAGCCAGUGAAGGACCCAGCCUGUUAUGUUGGCAGUGGGCACCGAGCAGCAGGCAGCUGGACUUGCCCCAUAUUCUUUCCCCACCCACUUGCCUGGCAGGGGGACGGGGCCUUGCUGUCCUUCUGAAGGAGUUCCCAGAUGUCUGAUAACUUGCAAGGUGUUUUACCUGGACACCUUUCUGAAGCUUUCCAUGCAUCACUGAGAUGGAGCAGAGGGAGGAAGUCAGUGAUGUUUACGCACACCCCAGCCAUGACAGACGCUGGAUGAGGUGCCCAGUGGGCAUCAGCUGGAAAUCUCCCAGCCACCUGGCAAGCUCAGUACCAUCCUCGCUUUGCAGACCAGGGAACCCAGAUCUGCCUGAGACAGUUCGGAUGAUGAAGAGCAAGAACAAUGUCUCCAUUCCAGGUCCCUGGCCCCAGCAUCCAAGUCCUGUUCACUCAAACACACUGGAGGGGCCUUAGCUUCUCCCCCAGUACCCUACUCUGCAGAAGAGAGCUGGUUCUCCCCUUUCCACUCCUGCAACCAGAGAUUCAUGAAUAAAUUAAUAAAUUCUUGAUUUUAAAGAGUUUUGAUCCACCAUUCUUCUCAGAUAUGCUUCAGUUCAAAACAGUGUUGAUUUAUACCA